rnacentral:rRNA from 1 species
UACGAAGGGGGCUAGCGUUGCUCGGAAUUACUGGGCGUAAAGCGCACGUAGGCGGCUUUCUAAGUCGGGGGUGAAAUCCUGGAGCUCAACUCCAGAACUGCCUUCGAUACUGGAGAGCUCGAGUCCGGGAGAGGUGAGUGGAACUGCGAGUGUAGAGGUGAAAUUCGUAGAUAUUGCAAGAACACCAGUGGCGAAGGCGGCUCACUGGCCCGGUACUGACGCUGAGGUGCGAAAGCGUGGGAG